ensembl:lncRNA
UGUCACUACACAAUAUUCCUGAGAUGUCAAGGUCACGGACUGAUUUGAGCUCCAGGCCAGCCCUCACCAGCUGCUCGCUCAACUGAAUCUCCACUCUGGCCAUUCAUGAGGCUUAAUGGGGGGGCUGGAGUAGACACCCCCUCUUUUCCUACGUGGACAGUGCAGGUGAUCCAACCCCUCUUUAUAUGUGGGACCUCAGUCUUUCUCUCUAACGCCUCCUCUCCGAAAUCCGCACCCCUCGUUGACCCCCGGCCCGCCGCCUCUCUCACAGCCUCUCCAGAAGCUGAGGCCCUUGACCACAAAGAGGGGCUGGCGCUGGCCACCCUUGCCAACCCUCGAUGACCGCAGGUGUAAAUGCGCCUUUCCGCCAGCAGGGGGCAGGAGCUGCCCGGCAAUCCAGUGCUGGGCGCGCGCCCCCCUCCGGCCCGAGUUUCCCUGCAGGUUCCCCGCUUCUCCUCAGCUCCCCGCCUCCUUCCUGGGCGGAGUGAGAGAGGGCGCCAGUGCCCCUGUGAGUCAAUGCGCGCUUGCGGGGGUGGUGGGUGACGCGGUGCCGAGCAUCGGUUCGGGAAAGCCAGGCUCCCGCCCUGGGAUGAUGCUCUUCGGGCUCCCGGGCUGCUCGAAUAACACUCCGGCGGCGCUGCCCCUGCGCCCCGAGAGACCGGGGCCACCCCGUUAUUCCUCAGGUCCCUUCACCCCAGGGGCUCCGCCACCGCGGGGGCGGGUCACAGCUCGUGCAGAGCAGUCUGGAGGCUCUACACGGAGGGCCUCCCGCCUCCUCCACAGAAACAAUACCCGGACUUGGGGGCACAGCCCGGGAACCAGGCGCUGCCGGAGAGGAGGGCGCGGAGCCGGGGAGACCGCUCCUCUCCCUCCGCACCCUCGCUGGUGCAGGCGGGUCCAACUGCCGCCGCCGCCCGGGCCGGCAGGGGGCGCUGCGCCGCCGUUCCCCGCGCGCCCGGGGACCAGAGGUGACCUCUGGUUCUUCCUCAGAGGUGGCUUGCCAAAGGCUUUUCGAAAUCCUGCUGGGAACAUGAAUCUGACGUGGACCCCCCUCCCCUUCCUCCUGGAGCAAACGUCUUCACCCCAAGCCUGCCUCUCUCCACACAGCAGACAGACAACCCCAAGUCACGGGUCCCUGGAGGACACCACCGAUCCUGGGAUGUGACCAUGAGGUGACCGUGGCUGAUGCAUGGGGUCAAUGUAAUCAGAUCAAGGAUGUGGCACCAAAGCGGAUUUCUGCAGCAUUCCACCCCUGCCCUCCACCACCAGCUGCUCCAGGCACAAGCGCCACAAAGCUGCUCACGAUGUCACUGGCCCUGCCUGCUUUGCCAGUGCGGGAACCAGACUCCUGCACUGCUCCUACGUAACAAGGACUUCAGGCUGUGAGAUGGGGGUGCCUGUUCCCGGGGCUGGCUAGACUCCUCCUGGACCUGACACAGAAGCUGACAGACUUGCACGCCAUGCCUCCAGAUCUUUGAGGCCCUGGCCAAAGACUUGCCUGUGAACGCUUCUUCCCCUGCAGAGGGAUCUGGUACCCAAUCACGCACCAUCCUGCAUCUCUCUCUCGGCCUCUCCCCCCCGCCCCACUCCACCCGACAUGCCUGCCACGGUGACGGUGACACUUUGUUUGGUGCAAGACAUGAUGGGGAUGGAGGAGUUGGGGAGAGAGCACGUUAUGGGGAUCUGUGGAAAAGCCUGGCUUCCACCCAGCGGCUAUACAAGCCGGGCUGGCUGGGUCGAUGUGCUCACAGGCUGCUCUCAUAGGAAUCCCCGAAGGCAUUUAAGAAACAAAACAGAGGACCAAGGGGCAGGGAGGGAAAAAUAAAACAAGAGGAAACCAGAGAGGGAGACAAACCAUAAGAGACCCUUAAGCAUAGGAAACAAACUGAGGGCUGCUGGAGGCGAGGGUGGCGGGGAAGGGGUAAGUGGGGAUGGAAUGAGCGCUGGGUGUUAGAUAAGACUGAUGAAAUCACUGAACUCUACCUCUGAAACGAAUAACACACUGUAUGUUAAUUAAUUGAAUUUAAAUUAAUUUCAAAAAAUAAAGAGAGGACUCUGGAUGGUGCUGGGCCUGCACAGCUCCCAGUCCUUCUGGCUGGCGGGGGUCCUUCUGGCCGGCCUUCCUUCGGCUCCCUUCUCCGCAGCAGGCUCGCGCCGGGAUGAUUAGGGAUGACAGCCAACGGGAAAACCCACUGCCUUUACAGAAGCACAUCCCUGAGCGGGCACAGCACCGAAGGAGCCACUUCCUGAAGGAGACAAGGCGGAGUCAGGACUCAGGCGGGUGCCCGCUGUCGCCUCCUUGGCCCGCAGGGGGCGCUGUGCCCCCUGAAUCCGCUGGCCAAGUGGAGACCAGAACUUUUUCCUGGGCUCCCCUUGAGAUCUGGGGACAUGGGGGCGCCUGGGUGGUUCAGUCAGUUAAGGGUCUGCAUUAGGCUCAGAUUAUGAUCCCGGGGUCCUGGGAUGGGGCCCCCAUCGAGCCCCUCAUGGAGACCCACAUCUAGCCGGGCAUUGGGCUCCCUGCUCAGUGGGGAGCCUGCUUCUCCCUCUCCCUUUGCUAUUCCCCCUGCUCCUACUCUCUGUCUCUCUUUCAAAUACAUGGAUAAAUAAAAUCUUAGAAAAAAAAGAAAAAAAGAUCUCGGGACAUGGGUUUGGAAGUGUCCUGGUUACCGGCACAGGGCUGGAGGGUAAUAGCUGAGAAAGCAGACGAUUCAACCAGUGUAAUUACAGCCUCUCUUUCAGAUUACAGAUUUCUGAGUUUCGCCAUAACGUUCGUGCUGUUCAGCUGCUCUUAGUAUCGAACUGACCACCUUCGGAUUUGCAUUCCAGCACGCAGGUAGGAAGAAAAGGAAGUAGGAUAUCUCCGAGCGCAUACUUACGCUGUCAGCUUGACAGUUCGGCUGUACUGGAAAAGAGUUGAUUUCAUCUUGUAACCCAUUAUACACACGACCCACAUUUUAUUUUAAGUGCGCUCCAUGAGCAACGGCCCAGCAUGCUUUACCCGCUGAGCCAGCCUGGUGCCCCCACACAAGCCAUUUCCGGAGGAGGUUUUUCUACUCACAAGGCAGCAUCCAUAUGUGACUUCUUUCUUUACCCUGUGGCUCCACCGAAAAGGAGUGGAGGCUCUGAAGCAAGGAAACUCGACUCCAGGGCAUGGACUGACUGGCCAGGUGACCAUGGACUAAACUGGUGUGGACAGUUUACCGUCCUGGAAUAAUGGUGACAAAACUGGAUACUCUGACUUUCAUUUCCCCCACGAUGCCAGGAGCUGUAGUUUAUUGUCUUCCUUUGUGACCCUUAGCUUGCUCUAAAAGUGCUUUCUAGAAAUCUUUAAUGGGCCCUUGCGGUAAGUCCUGUUGGCGCCAAGGAUUUUUUGUAGACUCCCAUUUUCAGGAUGGGAAGAUUCCCUUCCCUUCUGUCCUGGUCUCCACCCGUGAAUGGAUUGUGCCUUUUAUUGGCUAAUUUUUCUGCAUCUAAUGAUACAGUCAUGUGGUAUUUCUCUCCUAAUCGGUUAAUGGUGUGGGAUUGUAUAAAAUUUCUGAACAGAAGCGACUCCAUUUUGAAGCUGCAUUUUCCUUUUCAACUAAUGAACUCUUGAGCUGGGCCAGAAAUGCAGUAGUUUUACAAGCAGUUGGUCAUAAAAUUUCAACAGGGCAACUGGCAUUAGGAUCUCGUGAGGACAGUAAAGUUAAUUAAUACAUACCAGGGGCAAUUUCAUUUGAUAGCACCAAUAAAGUAAUCAAUAAGGUACUAAUGAGAAGCGGCUCAACCGAUUAGCACCAAAUUAUCAGGGUUUUUUAAUUUUUUCCUUCUCUUCUUUAUCUAAAUCACAUAAUUACCCCUUCCUUCUUUUUCAUAAAAACCUCUAGCUCUCCCCACAUGAAGGGACACUUUUCUGGUUAUUCUGGAGUCUGUGCUCCCCGAAUUGUAACUCUGGGACCCCAAAUAAAAACCUUUGUUCUUUUUUCAGUUUCGCCUUCUUUUUUUUUUUUUUUAAGAUUUAUUUAUUUAUUUAUUUAUUCAACAGAGAUAGAGACAGCCAGUGAGAGAGGGAACACAAGCAGGGGGGAGUGGGAGAGGAAGAAGCAGGCUCUCAGCAGAGGAGCCUGAUGUGGGGCUCGAUCCCGUAACGCCGGGAUCACGCCCUGAGCCGAAGGCAGAAGCUUAACCGCUGUGCCACCCAGGCACCCCUCGCCUUCUUUUCUUGGUUAACAAUGGGGUGACUUGCAUUAAUUGAAUUUAGAGUACUA